CCCUUAGAUGUCCUGGGCCGCACGCGCGUUACACUGAUGCAUUCAACGAGCUUAUAACCUUGGCCGAGAGGCCUGGGCAAUCUUGUUAACGUGCAUCGUGAUAGGGAUAGAUUAUUGAAAUUAUUAAUCUUGAACGAGGAAUUCCUAGUAAACGCAGAUCAUCAAUCUGCAUUGAUUACGUCCCUGCCCUUUGUACACACCGCCCGUCGCACCUAGCGAUUGGAUGGUCCGGUGAAGCCUCGGGAUUGUGGUUCUUGCCGCUUUAUUGUGGCGUGACCGCGAGAACUUGUCUAAACCUUAUCAUCUAGAGGAAGGUGAAGUCGUAACA
rnacentral:rRNA from 1 species